AAUUUUCGGCAAUGGGGGCAACCCUGACCGAGCGACGCCGCGUGAGUGAAGAAGGCCUUCGGGUUGUAAAGCUCUGUUGUAAGGGAAAAACCGUAGUGAUAGGGAAUGAUCACUACCUGACGGUACCUUACCAGAAAGCCACGGCUAACUACGUGCCAGCAGCCGCGGUAAUACGUAGGUGGCAAGCGUUAUCCGGAAUUAUUGGGCGUAAAGGGAGCGCAGGCGGUUUAUUAAGUCUGAUGUUAAAACACGGAGCUCAACUUCGUGAUGCAUUAGAAACUGGUAGACUAGAGUGCAGGAGAGGUGAGUGGAAUUCCAUGUGUAGCGGUAAAAUGCGUAGAUAUAUGGAGGAACACCAGUGGCGAAGGCGGCUCACUGGCCUGUAACUGACGCUGAGGCUCGAAAGCGUGGGGAGCAAAUAG
rnacentral:rRNA from 1 species